GGCCACCCUGCUGGCCCCCCCUCACAGAGCUGUCAGUCACUUGAUCUACCUGGAGAUAUAGAACUGGAACACUAGACUACAAGAAAACUGGGACUGUUCAUCAGCAAAAGAAGGGGCAGACAGUAAAAGGGAGAGAACAAUGAAAAGGACUCAAAACAUUGAGAACUUUUUCAUUUCAAAGAAAAAAAAAAGCAGCAGAGAGCAGGGAUGCCCAGAGUGAGAAAGAGGAGCAGCUUUCAACAGAGAUUUCUUCAAAUCAAGGUCCUCCGGCAGUGGUCUUUUAUCCAUACCACAAGCAAGGACAAAAACCCACGGGGGUUCUCCACACUGGAGGCUGUAUCUGGUCUGCUGCUGGGGGUGCUGUCCGUGGGUCCCUUCCACCCGGCUGGUCGGAGAACUCCCCACCUCGGUGCGGGGGUCCCCAUGCCUGUCGAGGUUGGGGGGCCGGCGCCUCCGGUGGUCAUGGCCUGUAACUCCUCCCGGUGUGGACGACCACAAUGGAGGUGUUUUCCACAAUCAUCAGUGCCAUGGCAUGUCUCCCUACAGUCAGUGCAGCUGACUACAAUUACACAUCACCAUCAUCAGAACUCUGGGCAGCCAUGUCACAGCCUUCCUCCAUAAAACCCGGCUCAACGUUCCACACCAUGCCAGAUAGUUGCUUCUCGCUGGUCACACUGCCCGGGCUCUCCGUUACUCGCGUCUGCCUAAGACCUGGACCUGCACUCACCUCAGGAGGAGGAGGUGUCUUGUCCCUGCUCGCUUCAGCCUUUCCCUGCUGUCCCAGCCUCUGGAUUCCCAGAGACUGCCGGUCUCCGGUAGCCUGUCCGCCCCCCUCCCAGCCCGUAGUGAGUUCCUUAGUUUGAUUAUUUCUGGCCUUAGUUCCAUUCUGAUUUUAUCCUUAGUUUCCUUCACUUACUCCCACCUUAUUUCUUCUAGUAAAUUUAAUUUGUAUUUAAAUAAAACACUUUUUU